GUGCUCACUUCGGCAGCACAUAUACUAAUAUUGGAACAAUACAGAGAAGAUAAGCAUGACCCCUGUGCAAGGAUGACACGCAAAUUCAUGAAAUGUUCCAUAUUUUU
ensembl:snRNA Rnu6-738 RNA, U6 small nuclear 738